rnacentral:misc_RNA from 1 species
CUGAUUACCAGCUCUAUGGGUUGAUUCGAAAGAGUCCUCGUAGAGUUGAUCAACCCUUUGUGCACUGUUCUGUUUUUUGGGUCUCGUCUAGCCUUUGGCUUGAGGCCCAGCAUUAUACAAACCAUACCAAUUUUGACUUAAUCCUAUGAAAAUAGAAA